UACGGGGGGGGCAAGCGUUGUUCGGAAUUACUGGGCGUAAAGGGCUCGUAGGCGGCCAACUAAGUCAGACGUGAAAUCCCUCGGCUUAACCGGGGAACUGCGUCUGAUACUGGAUGGCUUGAGUUUGGGAGAGGGAUGCGGAGUUCCAGGUGUAGCGGUGAAAUGCGUAGAUAUCUGGAGGAACACCGGUGGCGAAGGCGGCAUCCUGGACCAACACUGACGCUGAGGAGCGAAAGCCAGGGGAGCAAAGCGGG
rnacentral:rRNA from 1 species